UUGUUCUUUCUGCUCUAUUUUAAUUAUAGGUGUUGGGUUAGUACAUCUUCUUUUUUCUUUCAUUUUUGUGUGUCCAUACCUUGAGUGAAUUCUCUGUCAAAAGAAAUAAACUUUUUCUUUUUAAAAGAUAAGCCACAAACCACUACAAAAAACUUAACUUUUAGUCACAGCCAUUUUGUGACAACAAAAAUAAUGUGACUAAAUAUAUUUUUUAGUCAUAAUUUGUAGCACAAAAUAUUUUAGUGACAACAAAUUUUUAGGAAAAUGCAGCAAGUAAGACUCUAGCAAAUUCCAACAAACCUUUGGGGCAUAUAAACAUGUGCAAAUAAGAUUCUAUCCAAACAAAACAUGCCAUUAGAAACAGCUAUCAAGAAUAGAAAAUAAAACAAGAUUCACAACUUACUUUAGUGAGAAGCCAAUGAUUCAGAGGCCUCCAUCUGAUCACUUAAUUUACUCUAUUACAGGCUUGUAUCAUUCAGUAUAACGAGUUAGAUACUCAGUAGGGGUGAAGGAUCAAUCAAAAUUUUGGGUUAGGAUUGGUAGAAAGUGUAAAUGCAGCAUUGAUGGAAGUAUUUUCAAUGUUCUUAGUUUUAGUCAUUGGGCUUAUAUUUAUAGGUAAAAUUGUACAAAAGUAAACAAGAGGCUGUUUCAGUCUGGUUUUCAUGGUAGCUAGUUUGAGUUUGUUUCAGUUAAGCAAGAAUUGGCAAAAGUUAUACACUAAAGCAAAGAGAGGUUGAAUUUGGUUUGAUAGGUAAUACUGAAUAUAAUUCUAACUGUUCAACAAAAGAAUAAACAAAUCCACCUGGGGUGUUCUUUUUCUUCUCCCACUACCAAUAACUUGCCUUGGCUAUCAGAUUUUGGCUCGUUUUACUUAGGUUUUUACCAAAAGACAAUGGUUAGCAUUAUGAAAUUGAUGUGAGAAAAUAAAGGAGAAAAUAGUCAUACUUGUGUAUUUUUUGUUUUUGAGUGAGUGACUUUGAGAUAUUUCCAUCUCCAUGAUAGUGGAGAGUUCGAUAGAAGUAUUGUUGUCAAUGGCAAUUUAUUGUGUGAUUUGGUGUGAUGUGAAUUGAUUUGAUUGGUUUAUUUGUAAAAAAGAAAUAAAAGUAUUGUGAAAUACAAUGAAUUCUUCAUAUCUUUUAGUGUUAAAUUUUCUCACUUCCAAAUAGAUAAAACAAUGGCAAAAAAAUAGUGAUUCAAUUCUUACUGUAUUUUAAAUGUUGUAAUGAGCAAUUGAAACACAGAUAAAAAAAGUAUCAAAGAUGGAUAAAAGACCAAAAAAGUUUCUAAAGAAACAGCAAAUAAUUUGAAGAUAAGGGUCAAAAAGAAAAAGAAGAAUGUAAGCUACUAAAGCUGAAAAAAAAAGAGUUAAAAAAUGAGAGGACAAUAGGAAUGAAUCUUUUUUCUUGGGUUGGCUUGUUAAUGAAGAAUACUUUUGUGUCCUUUAGAAGUAGCAGCCUAAUGAACAAGCAAAGAACCUUCCAAAACCUUCUCUCAAAAGCUCUGGUUUAUAAUAAGAUAUCACUUCAAUUCAUUCAUGCACACACAAGCACAACUCAUCUUCUUUCUUUCUGCAUUGUGCAGUGACUUUUCCCAAACCUCUUUUCCUCCACUUAAAAUGGUUGAUAAUAAGCUAUUCAAAUAUGUUUCCUUAGUACUUUUGGUGCUUAAUUUUUGUAUGUAUGUCAUUGUGUUGAGCAUUGGUGGUAAUGCUCUCAACAGAGCCAUUGACUAUGGCUUUGUCAUUGGUAUAUCUCAGUCUCUCUUUACUUCAUUAGCAUGACAACCAAAGAAAAAAGAUACUAUUUUUCUUCUUCUUCACUACAGGUCCUGAUUUUCAUCAAAUAUUUCAAAAAUUGCAUUCUUACAAAAAUUGCAUACAUACAUUGAAUAUUUCAACAAAUUGUUUAUUGUUUUAGUUUCUGUGAUUGUGUUGUGUGUGAUUAUCAUUGUUAUUCAACCAAGUCUCAUCCUCAGUCUUUAUACUCUCAAUCAUGUUUCUUCUACGCCUUAAAGUAUCUCGUUUGGUAAAAAUGAUAGUUAAAGUCGAUUAUGUGUAAACAAAAUAAAAUUAUUAGAAUUGGAGAUUAUUUGGAGUGUACUUAAUUUGGUUAUAAUUGUUCUAAGAUAUAUGUAACAUAUGAGAUUUACCACAUUCGUGUUGCAUUUAAUAGUUAAGGCUUCUUCAGCUGGCAUGAUAGGAAAUGAUGCCAACAUAAAACUGAAACCAAACUCAUCAAAGCACAUCAAAUCUAAACUACUUAAAGUAUAUAAAACUAAACAAAUAAUAUUUAUCUACACUAAUUUGUUACUUCUUUGUAUGUUGACCAGAUUCAUGUGCCGUGUGCUUUUAUUUCAUAAAACUGAAACCAAACUCAUCAAAGCACAUCAAAUAUAAGUGUAAUGAUUUAAUUACAAUGGUAAUUAAGUAACAUUCUGAGUGCAUAAUCAAUUGCUGAUUUUAUGUCUAUUACUUUUCAGCUUUUUCAUUUAGCUCUUUAUUCUUCUAUUUUAUUAUUAUUAUUCAUCUCUAUCUACCCUCAAUUAACUAGCUUGCUUAGUUUAAUAAUCAAAAGUAAACAAAGGCUAGUUGUUUUUUUCUUAUUUACUAUUUUUAUCAUUUAAUUUUCUUGUAUCUUUUUUCUUCUUAUUUACUAUUUUGUUUUAGCAAGGAUAUAUAAUGGAAUUUGGAUUGGAAAAUCUGCAGGGAUCAUGAUGAGGCGACCUUUGGUCUUGCAGCUUGACAAGACAAACGAGGGAGCUCAGAAAUACGUCGAGUUUCUUCACCUUUGCAAGAGGAGAUUCACAGAUUUUGGAAUUGAUGUUCAGUUUUUAAGUUACAUAAUUAUUUUUGCCAAAACUUGAGAAGAGAGCUGGCAAUUAGGAGUCAGAAAAUUUGAGGUCAAAUUUAGUUAUGGCCGGGUUGAAGAGUUGGUGUUUUUUGCCAGUUUAAAGGAGCAGUAUGAAAUCUUAAUUCAUCAUUUCAUACAGGCUGAUAUGACCAUGUUAGAAGACGAACUACCAACAAAAAGAUGACUUUCAUCAGCCCUUGUCAAGGUAUAUUGAUGAUUUCUUUGGAGCAAUUCUUGACAACAUUUGUAGUUGAGGCCUUUAGAAUGGAAGAAUGUAUUUCACUAAUUUUUGUAUACAUUUCUUGUUUUGUAUUUAGUGAUAAAGGAAUCUGAAUUGGGCAUAAAUAUUGUAAUUACAUUUGAGUAAUUAAUAAAAAUCUAUUUAUGUUACCUUA